GCUCUGAACUUCAAAGGAAAAGUGAUGACUCAGUGGUGGCUUUAAAGGUGGUACCUAGAGGAUACAUGGAAAAGAGUGUGUAGUCUUACACUGAAGUUAUGGUCCUGGCUCUGCAACAUCAUCAUCAUGAUCUAGCAGUUACAUAGUACUUACUAUGAAGUAGCAAUUGUGCUAAGUGUUUUACAAAUAUUAUCCUUUUAUCUUAACAAAGACUCUUGAGAGGCAGACACUAUCAUUGCCACCAUUUCAGUAUCAGAUGUGAAGAUUGGAUUUAGCAAUCUCCUGAUUGUAACAAUGAAGAUAUUCCUAACCCAGCAAAGAAUUCUCACUGAGAAAAGUGCCUCUACAUCAAUGAAUUAUGAGUGAUAUCUUUGAGAAGGCAGAAUACAUGUAAUUUGUA
rnacentral:lncRNA from 1 species